rnacentral:rRNA from 1 species
UACGUAGGGUGCAAGCGUUGUCCGGAAUUAUUGGGCGUAAAGAGCUCGUAGGCGGCUUGUCGCGUCGACUGUGAAAACCCGCGGCUCAACCGUGUGGUCUGCAGUCGAUAGCGGGCAGGCUAGAGUUCGGUAGGGGAGACUGGAAUUCCUGGUGUAGCGGUGAAAUGCGCAGAUAUCAGGAGGAACACCGGUGGCGAAGGCGGGUCUCUGGGCCGGUAUGACGCUGAGGCGCUGAAAGCCAGGGGAGCAAACGGG